CCUACGGGAGGCAGCAGUCGAGAAUCAUUCACAAUGGGGGAAACCCUGAUGGUGCGACGCCGCGUGGGGGAAUGAAGGUCUUCGGAUUGUAAACCCCUGUCAUGUGGGAGCAAAUUAAAAAGAUAGUACCACAAGAGGAAGAGACGGCUAACUCUGUGCCAGCAGCCGCGGUAAUACAGAGGUCUAAAGCGUUGUUCGGAAUCACUGGGCGGAAAGCGGGCGUAGGCUGUUUCGUAAGUCGUGUGUGAAAGGCGCGGGCUCAACCCGCGGACGGCACAUGAUACUGCGAGACUAGAGUAAUGGAGGGGGAACCGGAAUUCUCGGUGUAGCAGUGAAAUGCGUAGAUAUCGAGAGGAACACUCGUGGCGAAGGCGGGUUCCUGGACAUUAACUGACGCUGAGGCACGAAGGCCAGGGGAGCGAAAGGGAUUAGAUACCCCAGUAGUC
rnacentral:rRNA from 1 species